AGGGCUGUAGCUCAGUGGUAGAGCAGGUUCCCAGGUUCAAUUCCUGGCAUUUCCA
rnacentral:tRNA from 1 species